rnacentral:rRNA from 1 species
UACGGAGGAUGCAAGCGUUAUCCGGAUUUAUUGGGUUUAAAGGGUGCGCAGGCGGAUAGUUAAGUCAGCGGUGAAAUCUCACGGCUCAACCGUGGAACUGCCGUUGAUACUGGCUGUCUGGAGUACGGACGGCGCCGGCGGAAUGUGUCAUGUAGCGGUGAAAUGCUUAGAUAUGCCACAGAACACCGAUCGCGAAGGCAGCUGGCGAGGCCGGUACUGACGCUCAGGCACGAAAGCGUGGGGAUCAAACAGGAUUA